UACGAAGGGUGCGAGCGUUAUUCGGAUUGAUUGGGCGUAAAGGGUGCGCAGGCGGUUUGUUAAGUCAACUGUUAAAUUUCCCAGCCUAACUGGGAGCAGGCAGUAGAUACUGGCAAGCUUGAGGAUGGAAGAGAGAAGUGGAAUUCCAGGAGUAGCGGUAAAAUGCGUAGAUCUCUGGAGGAACACCGAUGGCGAAGGCAGCUUCUUGGUCCAUUCCUGACGCUCAUGCACGAAAGCGUGGGGAGCAAACAGG
rnacentral:rRNA from 1 species